GUAUGUUGACGUAUCUGAAAGGGAUACUUCUUCGGACAAUAUACAAGGUGCUGCAUGGUUGUCGUCAGCUCGUGCCGUGAGGUGUCGGGUUAAGUCCCAUAACGAGCGCAACCCCUAUCAUUAGUUGCCAUCAGGUCAAGCUGGGGACUCUAAUGAAACUGCCUACGCAAGUAGUGAGGAAGGUGGGGAUGACGUCAAAUCAGCACGGCCCUUACGUCCAGGGCUACACACGUGCUACAAUGGCCGGUACAAAGGGCAGCUACCUGGUGACAGGAUGCUAAUCUCAAAAGCCGGUCUCAGUUCGGAUCGGAGUCUGCAACCCGACUCCGUGAAGUUGGAUUCGCUAGUAAUCGCGCAUCAGCCAUGGCGCGGUGAAUACGUUCCCGGGCCUU
rnacentral:rRNA from 1 species